rnacentral:rRNA from 1 species
UGCUUCCUACGGGGGGCAGCAGUGGGGAAUAUUGGGCAAUGGGCGCAAGCCUGACCCAGCAACGCCGCGUGAAGGAAGAAGGCUUUCGGGUUGUAAACUUCUUUUCUGAGGGACGAAGAAAGUGACGGUACCUCAGGAAUAAGCAUCGGCUAACUCCGUGCCAGCAGCCGCGGUAAUACGGAGGAUGCGAGCGUUAUCCGGAUUUAUUGGGUUUAAAGGGUGCGCAGGCGGCCUGUUAAGUCAGCGGUAAAAGCCCGGGGCUCAACCCCGGCGCGCCGUUGAAACUGGCGGGCUGGAGUUGGAGG